rfam:Bacteroides nordii CL02T12C05 genomic scaffold supercont1.2, whole genome shotgun sequence.
AAUAAAAGGGUUCAGUUGGUUAGAGCGUCAGAUUGUGGUUCUGAAUGUCGCCGGUUCGAGUCCGGUCUUUCUUU